rnacentral:rRNA from 1 species
UACGUAGGGUGCGAGCGUUAAUCGGAAUUACUGGGCGUAAAGCGUGCGCAGGCGGUUUUGUAAGCCAGAUGUGAAAGCCCCGGGCUCAACCUGGGAAUGGCAUUUGGGACUGCAAGGCUGGAGUUUGGCAGAGGAGACUGGAAUUCCUGGUGUAGCAGUGAAAUGCGUAGAUAUCAGGAGGAAUACCGAUGGCGAAGGCAGGUCUCUGGGCUAUAACUGACGCUCAUGCACGAAAGCGUGGGGAGCAACAGG